GACGAACGCUGGCGGCGUGCUUAACACAUGCAAGUCGAACGGAAAGGCCCUGCUUUUGUGGGGUGCUCGAGUGGCGAACGGGUGAGUAACACGUGAGUAACCUGCCCUUGACUUUGGGAUAACUUCAGGAAACUGGGGCUAAUACCGGAUAGGAGCUCCUGCUGCAUGGUGGGGGUUGGAAAGUUUCGGCGGUUGGGGAUGGACUCGCGGCUUAUCAGCUUGUUGGUGGGGUAGUGGCUUACCAAGGCUUUGACGGGUAGCCGGCCUGAGAGGGUGACCGGCCACAUUGGGACUGAGAUACGGCCCAGACUCCUACGGGAGGCAGCAGUGGGGAAUAUUGCACAAUGGGCGGAAGCCUGAUGCAGCAACGCCGCGUGCGGGAUGACGGCCUUCGGGUUGUAAACCGCUUUCUCCUGUGACGAAGCGUGAGUGACGGUAAUUGGUAAAGAAGCACCGGCUAACUACGUG
rnacentral:rRNA from 1 species